CAGGAAGUAGUUUAAGUAGAAUAUCAGCUUUGGGUGUUGAUGGUGGAGGGGUGAUCCUUCCUUCCUGA
rnacentral:tRNA from 1 species